AUACGGAGGAUCCGAGCGUUAUCCGGAUUUAUUGGGUUUAAAGGGUGCGCAGGCGGCCAUUUAAGUCAGCGGUUAAGUCGUGGGGCUCAACCCCAUUCUGCCGUUGAUACUGGGUGGCUUGAUUGCGGUCGAGGUUGGCGGAAUUCGUUGUGUAGCGGUGAAAUGCAUAGAUAUGACGAAGAACACCGAUUGCGUAGGCAGCUGACCAGACCGCAAAUGACGCUCAUGCACGAAAGUGCGGGGAUCGAACAGGAUUAGUACCCUGGUAGUCCGCACAGUAAACGAUGAAUACUUGUUUUCGGCGAUAUAAUGUCGGAGGCAAAGCGAAAGCGAUAAGUAUUCCACCUGGGGAGUACGCCGGCAACGGUGAAACUCAAAUGAAUUGACGGGG
rnacentral:rRNA from 1 species